rnacentral:lncRNA from 1 species
CAAUAAGGCAAAUCACACAUUUUUUUUUGUUUUCCAGUGCAUAUAAAAGCAUGUUCUGCACAUUUAUCCCAGAACUUAAGGUUUAAUAAUAAAAGAAAAAAAGUUAUGUUUACACUCUGCUGUAAUCUAUUAAGUGUGCAAUAGCUUUAUGUCUUUAAAACAAUGUACAUACCUUAAUUUUUUUAAAACUUUAUUGCUAAGAAUUGCUGACACAGAGACAUGAAGUGAGCAUAUGCUGUUGGAGACAAGGUGCUGAUAUGUUUGACGCAGGAUUGCCACAAACCUUCAAUCUGUAAAACAAAGCACAACAAAACAAGAUCUGGUAACAGGGUGUUCCUGCCCUCUUCCCCUUCCUGACCCUUCUGCCUGGGCCCCGCCCCUGCUGCGUUUCAUCAAGUCGACAUGCUCUAAGAAAGCCGGCCAAAUCUGCACUCAGCCCCACGGAUGGCGCAGAUGUGUGUGACCAGCCCCCCUCGGCCUGCAGAAGCUUACCAUCGAGCCUAGGGGACAGCUAUCCAGAGGGAAACAGGCACCGGGGGCUCAGUGGGUCAUGGGCUUUGAGGUCUGGCUUCUCUACUGUGUUACCCUGGGAAAGUGUCUUGAGCUCUCUGAGUCUCUACGUGCUCAUCUGUGAAAUGGGGGUUACCCUAUCUCCCUUGGAAUGUUGUGAGGUUCAGAGUGGACAAUGAAUGUGCUUGCAGUCCAGUGCACAUCUGGGUUCAUACUGGGGACCCAAUGCAGCUUUCUGACUUAACUUUCGGAGGUGGAAGUCAACUGUUGGAGAUCGCUCUCUUAGGGACAGCCUUUUUGUGUCUUUCUAGGUAUGCAGAAGCAGUCCAGGCAGUACAAUCAGCCAAAACUGAUUAUGAAUUCUGGUUAUACAGCUUCCCAGCUGGGGAACCUUGAGCAAUUCAUCCACCUCUCUGGGCCCCGGUUAUGAAUAAAAUAUAAAAGAAAAUGCAGGCCACAUGAGUUUUGCAGAGCAGACGUAGAAAGCAGAGAAUGAAAAAAAGAAAAAGAGGAGAGAUCUGAAGCCAGAAUGGGCGUCAUGCAAGAGGCUCUAGAGUUGCAGACAGUUGCAGCCCAGAUACGACGUGCAAAGAGAGACAUCCCAGAUCUCCCACACAGAACUCCGGCGCGCUUUGAAGUGUUGACAACACAUAAAAUUAAAAGCAUCACAAUGCGAAUUAUCACGUUGUUUUUUCCACUUUGAUAGCCUCUACAAAGCAUUUUAUACCGAUGAAUCAAUACAAAUGUCUCUUUAUAAAGACAUUGGAAACAAAAAGAUACAUUUUUUUUUUUCCUUAAGAGAAACCGACACAACUAACAAAAAGAUUUCAGCCCUGGCUUGCAGGAUAGCUCUAGGUAACAUAGUGAGUUUGUCUCUCCUUUUCACAGUGGCCUUGGAGGUCACUGCUGUCUACUUGCUUGGGUCAAUCAUUCAGCCUCCGGAUGAAUGUUCUGCCUGCUGAUUAGUCAGCACCAUGAGAUGAGACAAACAAGCCACAAUUGCAUUGCUAUUGCCUCCUGACUGCACACACAUGUGUGUGCACAUGUAUAAGAAUAUAUACAGUGUGUGUAAAUAUAUAGAGGCGUGUGUGUGUGUGUGUGUGUAUUUUGUGGUUUGGUAAAAUAAAGCUUGCAAAUUAGGAUUAAUUUAUAACUCGUUAUAAUUGGAUUAUUGGCUGGGACUCCCUUUAUGUUACAGCAGAUGGACUUUUGCGUGAAAUAUUUUCCCUGAGUUGCUAUAGAGAUGUGCCAAGAUCUCUCUGCUGAAGUGAUUCCCCGCAGGCCUGUUUGUUGUUGUGCCCGGUGCCGAAUCACUUGCAGGCUGAAUCACUUACAGCCCUCACAGAGGCUGAUGAAAGAG